rnacentral:rRNA from 1 species
UACGUAGGGUCCGAGCGUUGUCCGGAAUUACUGGGCGUAAAGAGCUCGUAGGUGGUUUGUCGCGUUGUUCGUGAAAACUCACAGCUCAACUGUGGGCGUGCGGGCGAUACGGGCAGACUGGAGUACUGCAGGGGAGACUGGAAGUCCUGGUGUAGCGGUGGAAUGCGCAGAUAUCAGGAGGAACACCGGUGGCGAAGGCGGGUCUCUGGCCAGUAACUGACGCUGAGGAGCGAAAGCGUGGGGAGCGAACAGG